AAAAACGAGAAGAUUCUAACCCAGAAGUCAUUGCGAUUAAAUCAAAGCGUGUCAAGGAUGGAAACAAUAUGAAUGCAGUUUGUUUGGCAAGGAACUUCUAUCCAAAGAACAUCGAUUUGGAGGCAUCUUCUAAUGAUGUUGUCUACGAACAGAAUAAACCCAUUGUGACAUCCGAGGGGACAUACAGUACUAUUAAGGUGGUUCAGGUGAAACCAGAGACAGAAGUGAUCUGCAAUGCCAAGUUCAACGGCACCACUUUUACAAAAAACACAACUUUGCCAGAAAAGGAGAUUGAAGAACCAGUAACAGUGAAUGUUUGCAACAUAACAGACACCMCUACAAAAGAUAUCGAAACAGAGAAAGUGAACAUGCUGUCCACAGCUGUGCUGGGUUUGAGAGUCCUGCUGGCAAAAAGCAUCGCCUUCAAUACGCUCAUGAGUAUCAAGUUGUUUCUUUUCUGAGGUGGUGGAGAAGCCUGCCAUCAGCAGUCUAAGGAACAGAAGGAGAGAGCGUGUACCCACAGCAAUUUCAACAGCASAGGUCAAAUCUACUGACAAUCAGUAUUGAGAGCACAACAUUGCACCUUCCCCUUAGUUCCUGUAGAUUUAUCUGUCCUUUCACUUUGUCAUGCAGCUUUUCAGCUAACACUAUCUGGAAGUUUUCUUAGGAGGCGUAUUUUACUGUUGAAUCCUGUCUAGCUAGUUUCUUUCAUUUUGAAAACAWUUGUAACCGCUUUUGUUGUCUCUUAUUCCCAGUGAACUUUUCCCUUAUCCCUCUGCAAAGCAGAAACUGAUAUCCCCACUCCUCUAAACGUUGCAUAGAAGCAUCCAAAUUGCUUUGGUAGUUUUGCAAAAUCAGAAUUUCACUAUAGAUCCAUGACCUUUUUAAAAUCUUUUCUAUAGGCAAAUUAUAUCACUCUCUGUUUUACAGCUUAGAGAAUUCAGGCACAGUAGAUAUCMUUUAGUUUUAAUAUUUUUUAGAUAGCUUCAAUAACAAUCAUGUUCUAGAGUAGAUGAAAAAACACAUGUUGUGAAGAUCCUUGAAGUGAUUCACUUCAACCAGAUAAUAUUCAACCAUAGUAACACUUUAAUUUGCAUUUCUUUACCACRCAUCUCUUUUGCUAAGUGUAUGACUCCUGCAUUUUAGGUUUACCCAAAAUAAAGUUUUACUAUGCCAAAAAGUUCUGUGGUUU
ensembl:lncRNA